ACCUGGACAAGAUCAAUGGAUGGGGAGCAAGAAGAAUCUGAGGAGAAAGGGAGUAGGGAUGGCUUGAGGUCUCUGUCUCCAGUUCAACCAGAAGAGCUCAGCAUUUCUCUGCUUUAUAUAAGCUCAUCCACACUGAAGAAAUAUUCCAAGGAAAAGAAGACAGCCGAGCUCAAGCAUACCAGCCUUUGGAACCUGGUGCUGCAUUUGCCUGAUGUCACAGCAAGCAUGGCUAAUGUAAAAGCAGCCCCAAAGAUAAUUGACACAAGAGGAGGCUUCAUUCUGGAAGAGGAGGAGGAAGAAGAACAUACAACUGGAAAAGUUGUUCAUCAACCAGGACCUGUAAUGGAAUUUGAUUAUGUUAUAUGUGAAGAAUGUGGUAAAGAAUUUAUGGAUUCUUAUCUAAUGAACCACUUUGAUUUGGCAACUUGUGAUAACUGCAGAGAUGCUGAUGAUAAACACAAGCUUAUAACUAAAACAGAAGCAAAACAAGAAUACCUUCUGAAAGAUUGUGAUUUAGAAAAAAGAGAACCAGCUCUUAAAUUUAUUGUGAAGAAGAAUCCUCAUCAUGCACAAUGGGGUGAUAUGAAACUCUACUUAAAAUUACAGAUUGUGAAGAGGUCUCUUGAAGUUUGGGGUAGUCAGGAAGCAUUAGAAGAAGCGAAGGAAGUUCAACAGAAAAACCGAGAAAAAAUGAAACAGAAGAAGUUUGAUAAAAAAGUAAAAGAAUUACGGCGAGCAGUAAGAAGCAGUCUAUGGAAAAAGGAGACAGUUGCUCAUCAACAUGAGUAUGGACCAGAAGAAAACCUAGAGGAUGACGUGUACCGGAAGACUUGUACUGUGUGUGGCCAUGAACUGACAUACGAGAAAAUGUGAUUUUUAGUUAAGUGAUAUGUUUUAUAGUGUGGAAAUUUAGAUUGGUCUUGUUCAAAAUUCAUCAAAACGUAAAGUCUUCAUAGAUGAAUGAAACACUUGUAUAAAUAAUGCUUAAAUAAUUAUUUAUGUUAUGGCUUAAGAACAAGUUUCAGUUAAGGUCCAGCAGGUCUGGUUGUGGGCAAAAUAUUGGGUCUGUGACCAUUUUUUCUACAAUAGGGAUGGGAGCUGAGUGAUAGGUUCAAAAAUGUUAGGUUAGAGCUAAAACUGAGAAGCAACCAGGACAAACCCUAGAUUGGGGUAGGAGGAAGAGCUUUUAGUAGUAAAGGCAAAAACUGGCUGAACUGGAUUCUUACCCCAAGAAACAGCAGGGAUGGUGGUAGACCACUGCACCCCAGAGGCUGGGCCAGGUCUUCUAGACUACAACUGUCUGCAAGUCAGGGAGCAGGGAGCUAUUGCUGGGACAAGUUUUCUGUACCCUUAGGGUUUACUACUAUAGAUCUUAAUAUUAGUUUCCAGAUAGCCCUUUUCAAAUCUGGAUUAAAAUGGAAAAACAGCUAUAUUGUUUGUUGAUCAAAGGUAGUGAUAAGUUUAUCAUAACUUGUUAACAUUUACUGAGCAUUUACCACCUGCCAUGCAGACACUAUGCUAAGUGCCUUAGAGGUAUUCUCAUUUAAUCCUGGGAGGGAAGACAGCUUGCUGUGCUUGUUUUAACACUUCUAAAGGAGGGGUAACCUACAACCUGACAUCACCCCAGACAUCUUGAUCAAGUUUAGGUAGUCAAAUAUUCCUCUAUCUUGUCAAAAGGAUUACAAGGUAGUUAUAUCUAGUAAGAGCAUUUGAUCCCGAGUGCUUGAUUACAGGGUCUAUGCAUUCUUUUCCUGAUAAAAACAAAUACAAGUUAUGAUAAACUAGGUAUUUUCAAGUUCUUUGACAGGACUUUUUAUCCUACUGCUACAAAUAAAUAGGAAGUUUUUGUACAUUUUCAUUUCUCUCUCUAGAUCAGCUCUUGGAGAUUAUGCUUGAAGAAGGGCAAAAGUCAAAACAAGUCAAAUCCAAAGACUUGAGACUAUAAUUACUAAUUGUUCUCUAUAUAAGUAUUCAAUACAGAAAUGUUUAAUAUAUUUAUCGAGUGUUGAUUUUUUUUAAUGUGUUAUGCUGAAUAUUACAGCUCACUAAAAAGCGAUUCCAAAUGGGCGGCAAGAACUUCUUGGGGAAAAAAAAUACACCUUCCCAGCAAGUAACUAGGGGUUCAGGCUGCUGACAACAGCAUUACUACUGGGAGACAAGAAGCCCUAAAACUACCACAUGGACAUAGUUUCAGAUUCCCCUUACUACCUGUGGACCUUGGGUAAGUUACUCCGUGGGCCUGUUUUUAUCUAUCAGAUGGGUAUAAUAAUGUAAGGACUCUCAUGACGAUUAAAUACGGUGAAUCUAUAGCAUCUGGCACGUAACAGCCAGUUGUUAAUGAGCACAUCAUAUCAUCAGGACCAGUGUAGUUAAUAGACUUGUCCAGUUGAGGUGGGCUUCUAGUCACUCUUCACCUUCAUCAAUUUAGGACAAUCCUGGUAUCCAGUUAACAUUGACAGCCAGAUCUGCUUUUGGUUGCCAAGUUCUGUCCUCAUCUUUCAUUUUCAGGUAUAAUUGUAGAUUAGUAAGUUAAUACAAAUCACUGCUAAAUACUUUCCAGAAAAAGCAAACAAACUUCAUAUGAACUGCUUUCUGAAUAAUUCCUGGGAGAUUGAGAGUUAAGGAAAAGUAUAUGUUCACUUUGACAAAAGCAUGUUAAAUGGCAUCAGCACAGUUUAAUAGAAUAUUGAUUUAUUGCAAGGUACGACGUACAGUUACAGUGACAUGCCAUUCUUUUGUCUGUGUGAGCUUCAUUAGUGGGGAGAGCAACUGUUGAAAGUUUGCUCUUGUACCUUUAUUUCUUCAAAACUCAGUCUCUGUUUCAGUUUUUUCAUAUACCUAGCUGCCAGACUGGGUCAGAGCAGGGUUACAUCAGUGAGCAACUGUUAAAAGCAACCAUUACACAUGAAGAGACGGUCCAAGAGAAAGGAGGUGAAAACCUAGAAAUUCCUCUAGGAUUUGGAUCAACUAGGCUCUCCAAAGAGAAUGGCAAUUAGGAGUCUGAAUGAUACAGAGCCAAUUUAAGCCUAAAUAUUGUGAUGAGCAGCAGUAGGAACAAAUGGACACUAAGGGGCUUACAGGUACUACAUAACCUCCUGACAGAUUUGAUGACUUUUUGAAAUGGAAAAUCCCUGUGGCUGGGAAUAAUGAUGUUUAUUAUAUAAUCAGUUUUCCACAAACCUGUAGGAAGAUCUGCUGGAGCCUCUCUAUACAGUUCUUAUACCACGGUGUUAAUACACUGGUCCCGUCAGUUUCACAUCGUACCAAGUGCUCAGUCAGGAUCAUGAUAAAACGCUGGAAAUGGGGUACAAAGUUCCAGAGGUGUCAGAAAAAAUUCUUAUAUUUCGGAAACAAUCAAAUUUUUGACCAAGAGACCUCAAAGGUAUUGCUUGUUUCACCCUUUGUGGUGUGUAUUCAUAACUUUCAUAAUUCAAUAAAUACUGUCAGUGUAGAAAAGCAGUGAUAAUGAGUUAGUGCAUCGUUUUCGGCAAUACCCGAAGACCUUUAAUGUCUAGAUUAACUUAUGCUAGUAAUUUUUCUUAGAACCUGUUCUAAGGACAUAAUCAGAAAUGUUAACAGGAGUGUAUACACAAAAAUCUUCAGGAAGGAAAACAAUCAAUAAAUAGAUCAACAAUUGGGAAUAAUUAAAUAUGAAAGAGGUAUUUAACAGUAGUAUCCAUUUUUUUUAAAGCAAGGAGAAAUGCUCAUGCAAGAAUGCUCAUUAUGUAAAUAACAGAAUUACUUUUAUUUUUCCCUUAGAAACUUUUAUAUAUUUAAGAUCUUAUAAAUGAAUAUGUAUUACUUCUGUGAUAAAAACAUUUUUUAAAACUAAAGAAA